rnacentral:lncRNA from 1 species
GCAGGACACAGGUGUGUGUGCCUUCGAGUGUGCGGAGGUGUGCACGUGUGAUGCGUUACAAUGCAGCGUCGUGUGCGUGCGUGGCUGGACAUGCAUGUGCCACGUGUGUGCUUGCACUUUGCAGGUGCGUGGCGGGUGCACAGCGCACAGGUGCGUGUGCCCGUGUGAGCGCGCGUGGGUGUGGACAUCGAGUGGGGGCGCACGCACCGCGCACGCAUGAGCGGGCUGCCUCCGUGUCGCACACGUCUGUGCACGCAUGAGCCCCUGCUUCCUCGGGUUAUUGGGCACCGCGCUCGCUCCGCGCCCUGGGCCCAGGCUGACGGCACCCAGUGGCCCACGGACCUCCAGGAGCGGGGAGGGCUGGACUCAGAGGUGUCCUUUGUCCCGCACAGGUGGAGCGGAGACGUCCUCUUACGACAGCCCGCAAGGCAACACCAUAGCCCGGAUUGUGUCCCCCA